rnacentral:tRNA from 1 species
AGGUGCUUAUUUUAAAUAAAAUAUUUGAUUUCGGCUCAAAAGCUUGUGGUUAAAGUCCACAAACACCUA